rnacentral:rRNA from 1 species
GACGAACGCUGGCGGCGUGCCUAAUACAUGCAAGUAGAACGCUGAAGGAGGAGCUUGCUCUUCUGGAUGAGUUGCGAACGGGUGAGUAACGCGUAGGUAACCUGCCUGGUAGCGGGGGAUAACUAUUGGAAACGAUAGCUAAUACCGCAUAAGAGUAGAUGUUGCAUGACAUUUGCUUAAAAGGUGCAAUUGCAUCACUACCAGAUGGACCUGCGUUGUAUUAGCUAGUUGGUGGUGUAACGGCUCACCAAGGCGACGAUACAUAGCCGACCUGAGAGGGGGAUCGGCCAAACUGGGACUGAGACACGGCCCAGACUCCUACGGGAGGCAGCAGGAGGGAAUUUUCGGCAAUGGACGGAAGUCUGAACGAGCAACGCCGCGUGAGGGAAGAAGGUUUUCGGAUCGUAAAGCUCCGUUGUAAGAGAAGAAAGAGUGUGAGAGUGGAAAGUUCACACUGUGACGGUAUCUUACCAGAAAGGGACGGCUAACUACGUG